GAGNGGCGGACGGGUGAGUAACACGUGGGUAACCUGCCCAGAAGCAGGGGAUAACACCUGGAAACAGAUGCUAAUACCGUAUAACAGAGAAAACCGCCUGGUUUUCUUUUAAAAGAUGGCUCUGCUAUCACUUCUGGAUGGACCCGCGGCGCAUUAGCUAGUUGGUGAGGUAACGGCUCACCAAGGCGAUGAUGCGUAGCCGACCUGAGAGGGUAAUCGGCCACAUUGGGACUGAGACACGGCCCAGACUCCUACGGGAGGCAGCAGUAGGGAAUCUUCCACAAUGGACGCAAGUCUGAUGGAGCAACGCCGCGUGAGUGAAGAAGGGUUUCGGCUCGUAAAGCUCUGUUGUUAAAGAAGAACGUGGGUGAGAGUAACUGUUCACCCAGUGACGGUAUUUAACCAGAAAGCCACGGCUAACUACGUGCCAGCAGCCGCGGUAAUACGUAGGUGGCAAGCGUUAUCCGGAUUUAUUGGGCGUAAAGCGAGCGCAGGCGGUCUUUUUAAGUCUAAUGUGAAAGCCUUCGGCUCAACCGAAGAAGUGCAUUGGAAACUGGGAGACUUGAGUGCAGAAGAGGACAGUGGAACUCCAUGUGUAGCGGUGAAAUGCGUAGAUAUAUGGAAGAACACCAGUGGCGAAGGCGGCUGUCUGGUCUGUAACUGACGCUGAGGCUCGAAAGCAUGGGUAGCGAACAGGAUUAGAUACCCUGGUAGUCCAUGCCGUAAACGAUGAUUACUAAGUGUUGGAGGGUUUCCGCCCUUCAGUGCUGCAGCUAACGCAUUAAGUAAUCCGCCUGGGGAGUACGACCGCAAGGUUGAAACUCAAAAGAAUUGACGGGGGCCCCGCACAAGCGGUGGAGCAUGUGGUUUAAUUCGAAGCUACGCGAAGAACCUUACCAGGUCUUGACAUCUUCUGCCAACCUAAGAGAUUAGGCGUUCCCUUCGGGGACAGAAUGACAGGUGGUGCAUGGUUGUCGUCAGCUCGUGUCGUGAGAUGUUGGGUUAAGUCCCGCAACGAGCGCAACCCUUAUUACUAGUUGCCAGCAUUNAGUUGGGCACUCUAGUGAGACUGCCGGUGACAAACCGGAGGAAGGUGGGGACGACGUCAAAUCAUCAUGCCCCUUAUGACCUGGGCUACACACGUGCUACAAUGGAUGGUACAACGAGUCGCGAAACCGCGAGGUUUAGCUAAUCUCUUAAAACCAUUCUCAGUUCGGACUGUAGGCUGCAACUCGCCUACACGAAGUCGGAAUCGCUAGUAAUCGCGGAUCAGCAUGCCGCGGUGAAUACGUUCCCGGGCCUUGUACACACCGCCCGUCACACCAUGAGAGUUUGUAACACCCAAAGCCGGUGGGGUAACCUUUUAGGAGCUAGCCGUCUAAGGUGG
rnacentral:rRNA from 1 species